UACGGUCAUAGAACCCAAAACACUGCAUCCCGUCAGCCCUGCCAAGUUAAGGUGGGUAUCGCUUGGUCAGUACCAAAGUCGGGGACGAUUUGGGAAUACCGAGUGCUGUAGUU